rnacentral:rRNA from 1 species
GACGAACGCUGGCGGCGUGCUUAACACAUGCAAGUCGAACGGAAAGGCCCUUCGGGGUACACGAGUGGCGAACGGGUGAGUAACACGUGGGUGAUCUGCCCUGCACUUCGGGAUAAGCCUGGGAAACUGGGUCUAAUACCGGAUAGGACUCCUGGCUUCAUGGUUGGGGGUGGAAAGCUUUUGCGGUGUGGGAUGGGCCCGCGGCCUAUCAGCUUGUUGGUGGGGUAAUGGCCUACCAAGGCGACGACGGGUCGCCGGCCUGAGAGGGUGACCGGUCACGCUGGGACUGAGAUACGGACCAGACUCCGACGGGAGGCAGCAGGGGGGAAUAUUGCACAAGGGGCGCAAGCCUGAUGCAGUGACGCCGCGUGAGGGAUGACGGCCUUCGGGUUGUAAACCUCUUUCAGCUAUGACGAAGCGCAAGUGACGGUAGUAGCAGAAGAAGGACCGGCCAACUACGUGCCAGCCGCCGCAGUAA